rnacentral:rRNA from 1 species
UAGUCCUAGUCAAGCAAAAAGAAUUUUAGUUUGACACCCCGAAACUAGACGAGCUACUCCAAGGCAGCCUAAUAAAAGGGCCAAUCCGUCUCUGUGGCAAAAGAGUGGAAAGACCUUUGAGUAGAGGUGAUAAACCUACCGAGCCUAGUAAUAGCUGGUUGCCUGUGAAAUAAAUUUAAGUUUAGCCUUUAAUUAUCUCGUACCCCCGACGGCCUAACCAACAGCCCCGGCCCAAAGAUUAUUAAAGAGUUAUUCAAAGGGGGUACAGCCCCUUUGAACAAAGACACAACUUUAAUGAGAGGAUAAUAAACAUACAAAAUUAGGUAAGUGCCAAAGUGG